ACCGGGGUUGCGGACAGUGUCUGGUGGGUAGUUUGACUGGGGCGGUCUCCUCCCAAAGCGUAACGGAGGAGCACGAAGGUUAGCUAAUCCUGGUCGGACAUCAGGAGGUUAGUGCAAUGGCAUAAGCUAGCUUGACUGCGAGCGUGACGGCGCGAGCAGGUGCGAAAGCAGGUCAUAGUGAUCCGGUGGUUCUGAAUGGAAGGGCCAUCGCUCAACGGAUAAAAGGUACUCCGGGGAUAACAGGCUGAUACCGCCCAAGAGUUCAUAUCGACGGCGGUGUUUGGCACCUCGAUGUCGGCUCAUCACAUCCUGGGGCUGAAGUAGGUCCCAAGGGUAUGGCUGUUCGCCAUUUAAAGUGGUACGCGAGCUGGGUUUAGAACGUCGUGAGACAGUUCGGUCCCUAUCUGCCGUGGGCGCUGGAGAAUUGAGGGGGGCUGCUCCUAGUACGAGAGGACCGGAGUGGACGCAUCACUGGUGUUCGGGUUGUCAUGCCAAUGGCACUGCCCGGUAGCUAAAUGCGGAAGAGAUAAGUGCUGAAAG
rnacentral:rRNA from 1 species